ensembl:lncRNA
GGUACCGGUACAGAGUCAAUGUGGAGGCUAUAUACAGGGGUACCGGUACAGAGUCAAUGUGGAGGCUAUAUACAGGGGGUACCGGUACAGAGUAAAUGUGGAGGCUAUAUACAGGGGGUACCAGUACAGAGUCAAUGUGGAGGCUAUAUACAGGGUAUUACGGUACAGAGUCAAUGUGGAGGCUAUAUACAGGGUGUUACGGUACAGAGUCAAUGUGGAGGCUAUAUACAGGGGGUACCGGUACAGAGUCAAUCUGGAGGCUAUAUACAGGGUAUUACGGUACAGAGGCAAUGUGGAGGCUAUAUACAGGGGGUACCAGUACAGAGUCAAUGUGGAGGCUAUAUACAGGGUAUUACGGUACAGAGUAAAUGUGGAGGCUAUAUACAGGGUGUUACGGUACAGAGUCAAUGUGGAGGCUAUAUACAGGGGGUACCGGUUCAGAGUCAAUGUGGAGGCUAUAUACAGGGUGUUACGGUACAGAGCCAAUGUGGAGGCUAUAUACAGGGGGUACCGGUACAGAGUCAAUGUGGAGGCUAUAUACAGGGGGUACCGGUACAGAGUCAAUGUGGAGGCUAUAUACAGGGUAUUACGGUACAGAGUCAAUGUGGAGGCUAUAUACAGGGUGUUACGGUACAGAGUCAAUGUGGAGGCUAUAUACAGGGGUACCGGUACAGAGUCAAUGUGGAGGCUAUAUACAGGGUGUUACGGUACAGAGUCAAUGUGGAGG